GACGAACGCUGGCGGCGUGCUUAACACAUGCAAGUCGAACGGAAAGGCCCUGCUUUUGUGGGGUGCUCGAGUGGCGAACGGGUGAGUAACACGUGAGUAACCUGCCCUUGACUUUGGGAUAACUUCAGGAAACUGGGGCUAAUACCGGAUAGGAGCUCCUGCUGCAUGGCGGGGGUUGGAAAGUUUCGGCGGUUGGGGAUGGACUCGCGGCUUAUCAGCUUGUUGGUGGGGUAGUGGCUUACCAAGGCUUUGACGGGUAGCCGGCCUGAGAGGGUGACCGGCCACAUUGGGACUGAGAUACGGCCCAGACUCCUACGGGAGGCAGCAGUGGGGAAUAUUGCACAAUGGGCGGUAGCCUGAUGCAGCAACGCCGCGUGCGGGAUGACGGCCUUCGGGUUGUAAACCGCUUUCGCCUGUGACGAAGCGUGAGUGACGGUAAUGGGUAAAGAAGCACCGGCUAACUACGU
rnacentral:rRNA from 1 species